UUAAGCGACUAAGCGUACACGGUGGAUGCCCUGGCAGUCAGAGGCGAUGAAGGACGUGCUAAUCUGCGAUAAGCGUCGGUAAGGUGAUAUGAACCGUUAUAACCGGCGAUUUCCGAAUGGGGAAACCCAGUGUGAUUCGACACACUAUCAUUAACUGAAUCCAUAGGUUAAUGAGGCGAACCGGGGGAACUGAAACAUCUAAGUACCCCGAGGAAAAGAAAUCAACCGAGAUUCCCCCAGUAGCGGCGAGCGAACGGGGAGCAGCCCAGAGCCUGAAUCAGUGUGUGUGUUAGUGGAAGCGUCUGGAAAGGCGCGCGAUACAGGGUGACAGCCCCGUACACAAAAAUGCACAUGCUGUGAGCUCGAUGAGUAGGGCGGGACACGUGGUAUCCUGUCUGAAUAUGGGGGGACCAUCCUCCAAGGCUAAAUACUCCUGACUGACCGAUAGUGAACCAGUACCGUGAGGGAAAGGCGAAAAGAACCCCGGCGAGGGGAGUGAAAAAGAACCUGAAACCGUGUACGUACAAGCAGUGGGAGCACGCUUAGGCGUGUGACUGCGUACCUUUUGUAUAAUGGGUCAGCGACUUAUAUUCUGUAGCAAGGUUAACCGAAUAGGGGAGCCGAAGGGAAACCGAGUCUUAACUGGGCGUUAAGUUGCAGGGUAUAGACCCGAAACCCGGUGAUCUAGCCAUGGGCAGGUUGAAGGUUGGGUAACACUAACUGGAGGACCGAACCGACUAAUGUUGAAAAAUUAGCGGAUGACUUGUGGCUGGGGGUGAAAGGCCAAUCAAACCGGGAGAUAGCUGGUUCUCCCCGAAAGCUAUUUAGGUAGCGCCUCGUGAAUUCAUCUCCGGGGGUAGAGCACUGUUUCGGCAAGGGGGUCAUCCCGACUUACCAACCCGAUGCAAACUGCGAAUACCGGAGAAUGUUAUCACGGGAGACACACGGCGGGUGCUAACGUCCGUCGUGAAGAGGGAAACAACCCAGACCGCCAGCUAAGGUCCCAAAGUCAUGGUUAAGUGGGAAACGAUGUGGGAAGGCCCAGACAGCCAGGAUGUUGGCUUAGAAGCAGCCAUCAUUUAAAGAAAGCGUAAUAGCUCACUGGUCGAGUCGGCCUGCGCGGAAGAUGUAACGGGGCUAAACCAUGCACCGAAGCUGCGGCAGCGACGCUGAUGCGUUGUUGGGUAGGGGAGCGUUCUGUAAGCCUGCGAAGGUGUGCUGUGAGGCAUGCUGGAGGUAUCAGAAGUGCGAAUGCUGACAUAAGUAACGAUAAAGCGGGUGAAAAGCCCGCUCGCCGGAAGACCAAGGGUUCCUGUCCAACGUUAAUCGGGGCAGGGUGAGUCGACCCCUAAGGCGAGGCCGAAAGGCGUAGUCGAUGGGAAACAGGUUAAUAUUCCUGUACUUGGUGUUACUGCGAAGGGGGGACGGAGAAGGCUAUGUUGGCCGGGCGACGGUUGUCCCGGUUUAAGCGUGUAGGCUGGUUUUCCAGGCAAAUCCGGAAAAUCAAGGCUGAGGCGUGAUGACGAGGCACUACGGUGCUGAAGCAACAAAUGCCCUGCUUCCAGGAAAAGCCUCUAAGCAUCAGGUAACAUCAAAUCGUACCCCAAACCGACACAGGUGGUCAGGUAGAGAAUACCAAGGCGCUUGAGAGAACUCGGGUGAAGGAACUAGGCAAAAUGGUGCCGUAACUUCGGGAGAAGGCACGCUGAUAUGUAGGUGAAGCGACUUGCUCGUGGAGCUGAAAUCAGUCGAAGAUACCAGCUGGCUGCAACUGUUUAUUAAAAACACAGCACUGUGCAAACACGAAAGUGGACGUAUACGGUGUGACGCCUGCCCGGUGCCGGAAGGUUAAUUGAUGGGGUCAGCGCAAGCGAAGCUCUUGAUCGAAGCCCCGGUAAACGGCGGCCGUAACUAUAACGGUCCUAAGGUAGCGAAAUUCCUUGUCGGGUAAGUUCCGACCUGCACGAAUGGCGUAAUGAUGGCCAGGCUGUCUCCACCCGAGACUCAGUGAAAUUGAACUCGCUGUGAAGAUGCAGUGUACCCGCGGCAAGACGGAAAGACCCCGUGAACCUUUACUAUAGCUUGACACUGAACAUUGAGCCUUGAUGUGUAGGAUAGGUGGGAGGCUUUGAAGUGUGGACGCCAGUCUGCAUGGAGCCGACCUUGAAAUACCACCCUUUAAUGUUUGAUGUUCUAACGUGGACCCGUGAUCCGGGUUGCGGACAGUGUCUGGUGGGUAGUUUGACUGGGGCGGUCUCCUCCUAAAGAGUAACGGAGGAGCACGAAGGUUGGCUAAUCCUGGUCGGACAUCAGGAGGUUAGUGCAAUGGCAUAAGCCAGCUUGACUGCGAGCGUGACGGCGCGAGCAGGUGCGAAAGCAGGUCAUAGUGAUCCGGUGGUUCUGAAUGGAAGGGCCAUCGCUCAACGGAUAAAAGGUACUCCGGGGAUAACAGGCUGAUACCGCCCAAGAGUUCAUAUCGACGGCGGUGUUUGGCACCUCGAUGUCGGCUCAUCACAUCCUGGGGCUGAAGUAGGUCCCAAGGGUAUGGCUGUUCGCCAUUUAAAGUGGUACGCGAGCUGGGUUUAGAACGUCGUGAGACAGUUCGGUCCCUAUCUGCCGUGGGCGCUGGAGAACUGAGGGGGGCUGCUCCUAGUACGAGAGGACCGGAGUGGACGCAUCACUGGUGUUCGGGUUGUCAUGCCAAUGGCACUGCCCGGUAGCUAAAUGCGGAAGAGAUAAGUGCUGAAAGCAUCUAAGCACGAAACUUGCCCCGAGAUGAGUUCUCCCUGACCCUUUAAGGGUCCUGAAGGAACGUUGAAGACGACGACGUUGAUAGGCCGGGUGUGUAAGCGCAGCGAUGCGUUGAGCUAACCGGUACUAAUGAACCGUGAGGCUUAACCUU
rnacentral:rRNA from 1 species